rnacentral:rRNA from 1 species
UGGGGAAUAUUGCACAAUGGAGGGAACUCUGAUGCAGCGACGCCGCGUGAACGAAGAAGGCUUUCGAGUCGUAAAGUUCUUUUAUAUGGGAAGAUAAUGACGGUACCAUAAGAAAAAGCCCCGGCUAACUACGUGCCAGCAGCCGCGGUAAUACGUAGGGGGCUAGCGUUGUCCGGAAUCACUGGGCGUAAAGGGUUCGCAGGCGGAAAUGCAAGUCAGGUGUAAAAGGCAGUAGCUUAACUACUGUAAGCAUUUGAAACUGCAUAUCUUGAGAAGAGUAGAGGUAAGUGGAAAUUUUAGUGUAGCGGUGAAAUGCAUAGAUAUUAAAAAGAAUACCGGUGGCGAAUGCGACUUACAGAGAUCAAUCUGGCGAUGAGGAACAAAAGCGUGGGUAGCAAACAGG